GAUGAAGAACGUAGCGAAAUGCGAUAAGUAAUGUGAAUUGCAGAAUUCAGUGAAUCAUCGAAUCUUUGAACGCACAUUGCGCCCGCCAGUAUUCUGGCGGGCAUGCCUGUUCGAGCGUCAUUUCAACCCUCAAGCCCCAGCGGCCUGGUGUUGGGGACCGGCGACCUCGCCCGAGCCCGCCCUCCGGGGCGCGUGCCCGGUGCGUCCGCCGCCCCCGAAAUGAAUUGGCGGCCUCGUCGCGGCCUCCUCUGCGUAGUAGCACAACCUCGCAAGCGGGAGCGCGACGCGGCCACUGCCGUAAAACGCCCAACUUUUUUAGAGUUGACCUCAGAUCAGGUAGGAAUACCCGCUGAACUUAAGCAUAUCAAUAAGCGGAGGA
rnacentral:misc_RNA from 1 species